UGUUGAUCCGGUCAAAGAUUUAUCGGUGUGAGAUGGGCCUGCGUCUGAUUAACUAGUUGGUGAGGUAACGGCUCACCAAGGUGACGAUCAGUAGCCGACCUGAGAGGGUGAUCGGCCACAUUGGAACUGAGACACGGUCCAAACUUCUACGGAAGGCAGCAGUAGGGAAUCUUGCACAAUGGGCGAAAGCCUGAUGCAGCAACGCCGCGUGAAGGAUGAAGGCCUUCGGGUUGUAAACUUCUGUUCCCGGGGACGAAGAAAGUGACGGUACCCGGGCAGCAAGCCCCGGCUAACUACGUGCCAGCAGCCGCGGUAAUACGUAGGGGGCAAGCGUUAUCCGGAAUUAUUGGGCGUAAAGAGUGCGUAGGUGGUUAUGUAAGCGUGAGGUUUAAGGCAGUGGCUUAACCACUGUUCGCCUUGCGAACUGCAUAACUUGAGUGCAGGAGGGGAAGCGGAUUCCUAGGUAGCGGUGAAAUGCGUAGAUAUUAGGA
rnacentral:rRNA from 1 species